GGUCAAUAAAAUUCCACUCAUAGUGGGAAUUCUUUCUAAAGAAUUAGGACCACAACUGGUUGAAGAAUGCUAUGACUUUUUAUAAUUGGCGUCAACAACUCACAAUAUUUUGGUUCAAAUAUUUUACAAGUCUGGUGGCAUGACUGUUUUAGGACCUCGGAUUCCAAUCUUAACGGAUGAAAAUUAGAUGUUAUACAUGACUUUGCAAGAGAAGGCGAUACAGAGAACUUGAUCAAGUGUGUCGAGGCUGGCAUUCCUGUGGAUAUAAAGGAUAGUGAGGGUCGGGCCCCUUUGCACUGGGCUGUUGAUCGUGGCCAUAUCGAACUUGAAAAGGCACCGGUUUAGGGAUAACGAGGGCCAGACACUGUUGCAUUAUGCUGCUGUUUGCGAGAGAGAACGCAUAGCCGAGCUGCGUAUGAAGAAAAACGCGUCAACAUAUAUAAAGACGAUGAUGGAAACUAUCCUGCCGAUCUUUGUGAUUCAAACGAGCAGAGCUACUCGAGAUUGGCUGGAAAAAAAAACUCAAACGAGCCGAGCUUAAACGAGCGCAACCGCCGCGUAUUGUUGGACGUAUCAACCUUGUUCGUGUUCGUUUGUUAAGGAAAUGUGUGUGUUCAUGAACACAUACCGGACGAGAUUUUCUUAUCGUGUUCAUUUGUUAAGGAAAUGAACAUGUUCAUGUUCGUGUGUGUUGUUCGUUAAUUUUAAGAAACGAACGCAAACGACCAUUUAUGAACACAAACAAGCGUUCAUGAACACAAAUGAAAACAAACGAACACGAACGGCUCGGCGAGCGCAACCGCAGCGAACGUAACCGCAUCGGCGCAACGAGCACAACCCCAGCAAGCUCGGCGCAAUGCCACAGACAUCACAGUCGCAACCAGCGCAGUUGCAACGCCGCAGCCAGCGCAACCAUAGCGAACGUAGCCGCAUCGGCUCAGCGAGCGCAGCCGCAACGAGCACAACCAUUAUGUUGUAUUUAAAGUUUAUUCGCAGCGGCUAAGAGAGCGGAGGUAAGUUAUUGAGUUGGAAAAAUUUAGUUAUUGGGUCAAAAGGGUUUUGAGUUGGCAUCUGUUACUACAAUAGUUAAGUACUUCAUCAGAAUUGAACUUGGACAAUUCUCAACCUAUUGACUAAAGUGACCCUGUUAGGUGGUGGCACAGAUAUAAUGACCACAGGUGAUCACCUACACGUCACUACUCCCGCUCUCCAUUGCCAUGCCUUGGUAGAUCACUGUCCUGCAGGCAUGAGUACUUAGGUUCUGAAAGAGUGAAACUGCCGCCAGCGAGCCGAGGUCCAGAUCAACGCGACAACUUGAGAGGCAAACCUGACAUGGAUGCUUCGGUUAGCCCCUGGGUCAGCACCUGAGUGAUUUAGUUACCAAAAGGGCUAUUGUGUUUUUAUAAUUUCAUGUUUUAGCUCUUUUUUGGUGUUGGUAGUGGACAGUUGUUUUGGUACUUUGAACCUAUAUAUCAUGGUUGUACAAUUGCUAAUGUCUUAAGACUUUAGAUCAGGAGCAUGUUUGUUUGGAGUUUUGAUUCA